UUGUACAUAUAUUGUAUAAUUUUUAUAGUAUGUUGUAAUAUAAUAUAUUAUUUUCGCGUAAUAUACUAAACCGUGCGUAAUUUAGUGUAAAAAUCAUACAAAAUAUUUAUUAACAAUGCAUAUGUUGCAUUAUUUAUACAGAUAUUGUACUAUUUUGAAGAGCUUGUUGCACUAUUUGAAAGGAUGUUGCACUCUUUUAUUUUAUUAAUUAUUCUUUAUUCUUUUUAUUUUCUCUUGAAUGAGAUUUCUUAUUUCACGAGAAAGGUACAUGCAUGUAAUUAUGGUUUAGCAGUUAUCAUUUACAAGAAAUUUUAUACUUUAUUUAAUAUGGAAUGAAAUUUAAUUUUCAAAAAGAAAAAGUGUAACACACAUCUAAAUGGUGCAAUAUCCUCUCAUAAUAGUGUAACAUUUACACAAAUUGUGUAAAUAUCUGUACAAAUAGUGUAAAAUAUGCACCAUCUAUAUUUAUGUUGUAUAAUUUUUAUAGUAUGUUGUAAUAUAAUAUAUUAUUUUUUCGUAAUAUACUAAAUUAUGCCUAAUUUAGUGUAAAAAUUAUGUAAAAUGUAUAUUAACAAUACAUAUGUUGCACUACUUAUACAGAUAUUGCACUAUUUUGAAGAGUUUGUUGUACUAUUUGAGAGGAUGUUGCACUCUUUCAUCUUAUUAAUUUUUUUUUAUUUUCUCUUGAAUGAGGUUUUUCGUUUCACGAGAAAGGUACAUGUAAUUAUGACUUGGCAGUUGUCGUUUCAAAAAGUUUUACACUUAGUGACUUAACAGUUGUAUUUUCUAGGCAUUUAAAGCAUAUAAUUUUUAUGCAUUUUGACAGAAGGGUAGUUUGGUCAUCCUUCUGAAAAUUCGGUCCGAAUCUGCAAAAACUAAAAAGGUGGCCCUUUUUUGCAAAAGCGCAAAAUUAGUGGAUUUUUUAUG
rnacentral:lncRNA from 1 species